rnacentral:rRNA from 1 species
GGGGGGGGCAAGUGUUGUUCGGAAUUACUGGGCGUAAAGGGCGCGUAGGCGGUUUGUUAAGUUGGAUGUGAAAACUCUGGGCUUAACCCAGAGCCUGCAUCCAAAACUGGCAGGCUGGAGUUUUGGAGGGGGAAGCGGAAUUCCUGGUGUAGCAGUGAAAUGCGUAGAUAUCAGGAGGAACACCGGUGGCGAAGGCGGCUUCCUGGACAAAAACUGACGCUGAGGCGCGAAAGCUAGGGGAGCAAACAGGAUUAGAUACCCUGGUAGUCCUAGCCCUAAACGAUGGAUACUUGCUGUGAGGGGGAUUGAAUCCCUUCGUGGCGAAGCUAACGCAUUAAGUAUCCCGCCUGGGGAGUACGGUCGCAAGGCUGAA